GAAAGUAUGGAAGGGCGCAUGGCGGAUGCCUAUGCUCACGGAGGCGACGAAGGACGCGAUAAGCUGCGAUAAGCCGCGGGUAGGUGCAAAUGACCUGUGAUCCGCGGAUUUCCGAAUGGGACAACCCGCCGGGCCUCAUGCCCGGCAUUGCCGCCCAGAGGCGGCAAGGCCAACGCAGGGAACUGAAACAUCUUAGUACCUGCAGGAAAAGAAAAUAACAAUGAUUCCCCCAGUAGUGGCGAGCGACCGGGGAGCAGCCCAAACCGUCCGCGUGGCGACGCGCGGCCGGGGUUGUAGGACCGCAUUGUCGCACCUUGGUUGUGAGGGGAAGCGUCUGGAAAGUCGCACCGCAGCGGGUGACAGUCCCGUACCCGAAGCACGAGAGGGCGUAGCGGCAUCCUGAGUAGCGCGGAGCACGAGGAAUUCUGCGCGAAUCCGCCGGGACCAUCCGGCAAGGCUAAAUACUCCCGUGAGACUGAUAGUGUACCAGUACCGUGAGGGAAAGGUGAAAAGUACCCCGGGCAGGGGAGUGAAAUAGUUCCUGAAACCAUGCGCCUACAAGCGGUCGGAGCCACUUUUUGUGGUGACGGCGUGCCUUUUGCAUAAUGAACCUACGAGUUACCGUGUCUGGCAAGGUUGAGGGCCUCAGUCCCCGAGCCGCAGUGAAAGCGAGCCUGAAGAGGGCGGAUAGUCAGAUGGGGUAGACGCGAAACCAAGUGAUCUACACAUGGCCAGGUUGAAGUCCCGGUAACACGGGAUGGAGGACCGCACGGAUAAGCGUUGAAAAGCUUCCCGAUGAGCUGUGUGUAGGAGUGAAAGGCCAAUCAAACUUGGAGAUAGCUCGUACUCCCCGAAAGGCAUUUAGGUGCCGCGUGCGGCGUUCCCCGCAGGAGGUAGAGCGACCGAUAGGUCGAGAGGGCUUCGCCGCCUAUCGAGACCUGACGAACUCCGAAUGCCUGCGGGCCGGAGCCGUGCAGUAAGGGGGCGGGUGCUAAGGUCCGUCCCCGAGAGGAGAAGAAUCCAGACCGCCGUCUAAGGUCCCGAAAUUCUGUCUGAGUUAGUCUAACGAGGUCUGGUCCCGGUGACAGCCAGGAUGUUGGCUUGGAAGCAGCCAUUCAUUCAAAGAGUGCGUAACAGCUCACUGGUCGAGGGUCCGGGCAUGGAUAAUAAUCGGGUAUAAGUCAGAUACCGAAGACGCGGGAUAGCAAUGUAUAUUGAAAGUAUCGGUAGGGGAGCAUUCCAUGCCGCGCCGAAUGGUUCGGGCGACCGCUCCUGGAGCGCAUGGAAAAGCAAAUGUAGGUAUAAGUAACGACAAGGGGGGUGAGAUUCCCCCCCGCCGCAAGACCAAGGUUUCCCGGGCUAUGCCAAUCAGCCCGGGGUCAGUCGGGCCCUAAGCCUCAGCCGAACGGCGAUGGCGAUGGCAGAUGCGGUCAACAUUCCGCAACUUGCGGCAGCAGCGACGUGGUGACGGAGGAGUGACACCGCCGCGCCCUGACGGAAUAGGGCGCUUAAGCGUGUAGGUGUCGAGGGGGGCAGGCAAAUCCGCCCCCCGAGCCGAGGCGCGAAAGUACGCCCCCUCCCCCGGGAGGGGGCGAGCGCGGGUAAUCAUACUCCCUAGAAAAUCCGCUAAGCACAUGCUGCCGCAACCCGUACCGCAAACGGACACACGUAGUCGGGUAGAACAUACUGAGGCGUUGAGAGACUCAUGGUUAAGGAACUAGGCAAACUGACCCCGUAACUUCGGGAUAAGGGGUCCUCAUGGCGACAUGAGGCGCAGAGAAUAGGUCCAGGCAACUGUUUAACAAAAACACAGGGCUGUGCAAACUCGAAAGAUGACGUAUACAGCCUGACACCUGCCCGGUGCCGGAAGGUUAAGAGGAGCCGUCAGCCCCUUUGGGGUGAAGCGGCGAAUUGAAGCCCCGGUAAACGGCGGCCGUAACUAUAACGGUCCUAAGGUAGCGAAAUUCCUUGUCGGGUAAGUUCCGACCUGCACGAAUGGUGUAAUGAUCCGGACGCUGUCUCAACCAUGAUCUCAGUGAAAUUGUAGUAUCGGUGAAGAUGCCGAUUACCCGCGAUGGGACGAAAAGACCCCGUGAACCUUUACUGCAGCUUAGCACUGACCUCGGUCAUCCGAUGUGUAGGAUAGGCCGGAGGCUUCGAAGCGUGCGCGCCAGCGUUCGUGGAGCCGCCCUUGAAAUACGGCCCUUUGGCUGUCUGAGGUCUAACGCGCCUUUGGCGCGGACACUGCUUGGCGGGCAGUUUGACUGGGGUGGUCGCCUCCAAAAGCGUAACGGAGGCUUCCAAAGGUGCCCUCGGGCCGAUUGGUAACCGGCCUUACAGAGUGCAAUGGCAUAAGGCGCUUGACUGGGAGGCAGACAUGCCGAGCAGGCAGGAAACUGGGGCAUAGUGAUCCGGUGCAAGUGCAUGGAAACUGCAUCGCUCAAAGGAUAAAAGGUACUCCGGGGAUAACAGGCUGAUCCCCCCCAAGAGCUCAUAUCGACGGGUGGUUUGGCACCUCGAUGUCGGCUCGUCACAUCCUGGGGCUGGAGAAGGUCCCAAGGGUUGGGCUGUUCGCCCAUUAAAGUGGCACGCGAGCUGGGUUCAGAACGUCGUGAGACAGUUCGGUCUCUAUCUAUCGUGGGCGCGGGAGUUUUGCGCGGUGCCGUCACUAGUACGAGAGGACCGUGACGGACAGACCUCCGGUCUGCCGGCUGUGCCGCCAGGUGCACCGCCGGGUAUCUGAGUCUGGAAUGGAUAAGCGCUGAAGGCAUCUAAGUGCGAAGCCAUCCGCAAGAUGAGAGCUCCUCAUGAGGGCCGUCAGAGACGAUGACGUCGAUAGGGUGCAGGUGUAAAGACGGCGACGUCAAAGCCGAGCACUACUAAUUGCCCGAAACUUUCCCGC
rnacentral:rRNA from 1 species